UUUUCAACAGGGACAGGCGGGCACAAGGGAAGAGCCGAAGGGGAGCAAACUGCCGGAGCAGCGCCGGGUGCGAGACGAGCCGCUACCACCCGCACCCGGGGGCCUCAGCACCCCCCCAUUCAGCGGGCAAGCCCAGCGGCGGGCACCGCGCGGGCUGCCGCGGGGCGGAAAGCAGGAGUACCUGGGUAAGCUUUUCUGAAAUGAAGGAAUACAAUGUACAGCGGCCGUUUGGAAAGGAAAAGGAGUGAAUGGCGGCAAAGGCUGGUGCCUUACUGGGAGGAGACUGGGAAGGCGACGCAGGCACAUGUAUUUCCCCUGCAUUUCCCCUCCUGCGCUCCAGCCAGCCUCUGCCUUGGUUCUUUCAGGGCUCCUCAGCCUGCAGAAGAAGGAAUCCCACAUGGAGGAAAGGGCCAAAGUUCUGCCUGGAACUGAUGCUGCCCUGCUUUGUUAUGAAGAAAUAAAGGCAUUGCUGCAGAGAGGGGAAGGAAACCUUGGAGCUGAAGAUGACUUUUGGUGCUAACCCGCUGGCUGAUGCCGUGGGGCUGGCAGAGCUCCCCCAGAGCGUUGGCGCUGCUCCGUCCCCAGCGCAGAGCCACGCCGAUACUCUCAAUGUAAAAGAGCUGCUUGACUGAUGCAAGUGAGAAUUUGGCCCAGAGACAACAGAAAUGGCCAACAACUAUAAAUAUUUCUGAUGCCACGAACGAGUUGAAGUCGCAGCCAUCGCCCCCAAUGUGGGGGUGAGGGACCCCCGCAGCCUCGGCGACCGGGGUCUGCCCGAGCCAGGGCAGUCGUGUGCCUCUCUGAGAGCAGGGUUUGUGCGCUGCAGAUCAAGAAGCUAAUGCGAUGGUUAAAGGGAUUACUGCAAACUAUGCUGUGUUUUCUAGUGAGAGAAUUUGUGGUAUUACAUUCCUGGCUAAUUUUCAAUUUUUCUCUUUUGUAUGAACAUAAAGGGAUAAAUGAGGUAGAAAAUACUGCUCCGCAGCUGCUUUUGGUUAAGUUUUUGCCCCUCUUCCAUGAGCGUAGUAGUAAAAAUACAGAUUUGUUUGAAAUAUUUUUGAAGAAAAUUUCAUCUCUUGGACUCUCAAUAAGAGCAGAGCAAUCAGAGAAAAAUGACAGGAAAAUAAAUGGAAGAAACUAAUCAAAGAGGCAGACAAAUGACAAUUAAAUCCAAGCAGCUCCUUGGUUAUUGAAAAAAGCAAGUCAAAUUCCUGUAUGUGCUGAUUUUGCCCAUGGUUGUUUGUAGAGAGAUAUAUGAUUGCAGUGGAAAGCAAAAAUAUACUGCAUCAACUCUAAGAAGUAUUUUGUGGCAACAUACUAUGUUUUUUUCACUGGUGGUGAUCAAAUGAGUCAUCUAGUUUGUAGUCAAAAAUAGAUCCAGUAAUGUAGAUUAAAAAAU